rnacentral:misc_RNA from 1 species
UGUCAUUUGUAGUGUGAACAAAGCACUUAGUGACAAUCUGUCAGUGCAUCAUUGUUUACGGUUUACGAAGCGAAGUGGGAAUAAUUGACCUCUGACCCGGCGCUGGCGCAGGCCCCAUAAUGUGGAAACACCAGGAAGAUUGUGUCGCCGCAUAACCACGCUCACACGCAUCGAUAAAAGAUUACAAUCAUUCAGGAGACGAAGCGCCCUUGAUUAACAAUUAACUAUAGAGGUCGCUGGAAGAUUCUUAGAGACAAAUGCGGACACAUCCGAAAAAGCUCCAGUAGUGACGCCUCGUGCAACGCAUUAUUCUGUGUUCGUUGUCUUAGUUACAAUUGAUUGGCGUACAUAUCCGGCACGUAUCAGCCUCGCAGCCUCCCAGUUUCUAUGUAACGACACACCAGUGUGAAGCGUCCAUCGCCGCCUAUGCGCUAUUAUAUCCAUCGGGAGAUUAUGUAAACAAAUCUAAUAAACCAGUGACAAGCAUAUAAUUUGACGUUAACGAAGUAUAAACAAUCAUCGAAGAAAUGGCGAUAUAUUCCCCCCACAUAAGACUACGGCUGAGGAUAGCCGUUCUAAGUGAGACAAUAUUACUUGCACUACUAUGUUGGUGUACAAGUUCGAUACCAGUGACAUCAGCAUCACUGAAUAUAACGAGGACCAAGAAAAUAGAUUUAGUUUUAGCACAAAAUGAAAGUGUGACCGAAGUGUUGUUCCACUGGGAAGACUACAGCGUGCUAGCCGUUAUGCUACUCAUUUCGUGUCUGAUUGGUGUAUUUUACGGGUAUUUUGGGGAGAAGCAAACGACCGGUGACGAUUUCCUACUUGGUGGAUCAUCGAUGGGCACAUUUCCUAUGGCAUUAAGUCUUGCGGCAAGUUUCAUCACAGCCAUUGAGCUGUUAGGAAACCCAGCGGAGAUGUAUAUGGCAGGUGCACAGUUUUGGAUGAUUUGUGUCGCGUUUGUGCUGGUGGUGCCAAUCGCGAGCCAGCUAUACCUGCCAGUGUUUAUGAGACUCCGGCUGACGUCAUGUUACGAAUAUUUGGAAGUGCGUUUCUGCAAGUCUAUCCGCGUGUAUGCCAGUGCAUUGUAUUUAAUGCAGAUGAUACUAUACACGGCUGUUGCGGUGUAUGCCCCUGCGCUGGCAUUGUCCGAUGUUACCGGACUGAAUACUUAUUUGGCCGUUUCACUGGUGUACGUGGUAUGCAUCUUCUACGCUACUCAGGGUGGGAUGAAAGCAGUCAUAAUGACGGACUCUUUUCAAUCGGCCGUCCUCGUUGGGUCUCUGGCCGCGGUCCUGGCGAUGUCUUCAACCCAGGUCGGAGGAUUUGACGUGGUAUGGGAGCAUGCUUGGCGAACACACCGGCUUCACUUUUUCGACAUGAAUCCCGACCCAACAGUGCGACAUUCGUUUUGGUCUGUGGUAAUCGGAGGCACCAUGUACUGGGUCAGCAUGUUCUGCGCGAACCAAGCGUCAGUUCAGAAGUAUCUGUCAGUUGAGCGCAUAUCGCAAGUCAGAGUAGCACUUUGGGUAUCAGCCAUUGGCCUCAUCGCCAUCUACUCAGUGAAUUUCAUCACUGGUGCUGUCCUAGCCGUCCACUACGCAGACUGUGAUCCGAUUCAGGCUGGAGUGAUCAACGCAUCAGAUCGCCUUCUACCACUGUACGUGGUGAAGCAGUUGGGAGGCUCCCGGGGGAUUCCUGGUUUCUUCGUCGCUGGGAUUUUUGCAGCCAGCCUUGGAACUGUAGCUUCGGCGUUGAACUCUUUGGCUGCUAUACUAUGUCAAGACCUGGCGACGGGACUCCUUGGGAUUACGCUGCCAGAACAUAGAGGAGCAGCAAUAGCUCGAUGGGUGUGCCUGGCGUGCGGCGUGGUAUCCUUCGGGCUCGUGUUCGCGGUGGAACGCCUCGGUCCCGUGUUACAACUGGCACUCUCCUUUAACGGAAUGGCAGGCGGAGUGGCCCUCGGAUUAUUUUCACUGGGCAUGUUUUUCCCAUGGGCCAAUGCUAAGGGGGCAGUAGCUGGCGGUGUGUUCGGGCUGCUGCUGGUGGUGGCAGCGGGUGGAGGCGCACAGCUAGCUCAGCUGCCCAUGCCGCGUCUGCCUGGCUCCACGGAUGGCUGCGUAGCUCCCUACAAUAUGACCACGCACAUGACUGUCAACCCGAAUGAAAACCAUGACGAUGCAGUAUUUUGGCUGUUCCGUGUGUCAUAUCUUUGGUACUCGGGUCUUGGAUGCGCGGCUACGUUAGUGGCGGGACUCAUCGUGUCCGUUUUGACGGGAGCUACCGACCCUGCCCAAGUACCCAUCGACCUGAUCUCUCCGCCGGUUGUUGCACUACUCAACUCUCUGCCAAAGAGGUUUAAGCGAGCUUUAAAGGUGCCUACUCGGCUUGGCUCGGAGCGUCGCCGUAGCUCUAGCGUGCGUCCUCCGAGCGUUGCUGACGACAAAGACACUCGACGUCGCCGCCGACUGUCCGAAAUGGCUGGAGGAGUGUUCUACAGUGACGCUCCUACACUUACGCGAGGUUACGACAAUUUCGCCCUCGGCCUUGAUCCGGAAAAGCCUCCACCAAAUGACCAUAACAGAUCUAACAGUAUUAAAUUCGAACCCAAUUCAGAAAAUCACUUGUCAGAAACAUCUACUUGUUGAGCCAUUAAUUAAGUACGUAGGUAAAAUUAUUUAAUAUUUAAUUGUAAUUAAGUAAUUAAGCGCUUCAACAAUAGACUGAGGUAGCUUGAAAAGCGAAUGCUGGGGCGAGUGCCAUCUAUCAUACCCAUACCUAUUGUUCGAACGACACGAUAAUUUGAUAUAAGUAGACAAACUUAGAUUUAUAAGACAAGCUUUACAUCUAAUUUAGUACCUACUUGCCUUUCUUAAACUUCUUCAUACAAACAACACAUUUCUGAAAUCCACGAUCCACUGCACGCGCCAGAACCAAUCGUAAGAGACCACCAAUAAUCUUCAUUAGGUACCUACCUAAACUUAACGUAAGAAACGAUAAACGCAGAGAAACUGUUCGUAGCUGCUUUAUCGUGUCUAACCUUUUGUUUUUUAUUACGCAGCAAGUGAUUAGUUCCAUAUUGGUCGAGUUAGCUGACUGAAAACGUUAACUGCAAAGCUAGCAUAUGGCUAAGUACAGUUACCGGCACGGAUGUCGGGCUCUCGGCGGAAGAGUGGGGAUCGCUUUGCGCACCCGUACGCAUAAGGCAAUAAGGCAGUAAAUCGCUUCUGCGCAGGUGAAGGUCAGGGCUCGACAUCCGUGCCGUUAACUGUACUUAGCCGAUUUUCUAGUAGCUGUGACCACAACCUUUUUUGAGCGCUGGAUCCGCGCUUGUAGGCACUACACACUCAGUCAGUGACUUCUUAAAUAACAUUGUAAUAGGUAUUGAAAUAGCUUCGGCACAAUUAACCAAAAAUACUGGAGGUAUUUGGUCUGGGCCUGCUGACUUAUCAAGGUCCAAGUUUUUUAAUAGUUUUAUUAACACCUCUUGAUUGAUAACUACACUCGAGAUAUCUGACACUGGCUGACCAUUUUCGAGGUUAUAAGUAGGAGAGUAUUGAGAGGGUUCCAAAAAUGUAGAAAAGAAAUAGUCGGAAAAUAGCUCGCAAAUAUCACCGCCACCAGUGGCCACAUUUGUACCGUAAUUUAUAGUAUUCGGAAUA